rnacentral:rRNA from 1 species
CGGGUGCACUGAUCCAGCCGGGCCUUUCCCUCUGUGGAACCCCAUGGCCUUCACUGGCUGUGGUGGGGAAACAGGACUUUUACUUUGAAAAAAUUAGAGUGCUCCAGGCAGGCCUAUGCUCGAAUACAUUAGCAUGGAAUAAUAGAAUAGGACGUGUGGUUCUAUUUUGUUGGUUUCUAGGACCGCCGUAAUGAUUAAUAGGGACAGUCGGGGGCAUCAGUAUUCAAUUGUCAGAGGUGAAAUUCUUGGAUCUAUUGAAGACUAACUACUGCGAAAGCAUUUGCCAAGGAUGUUUUCAUUGAUAAGGAACGAAAGUUAGGGGAUCGAAGACGAUCAGAUACCGUCGUAGUCUUAACUAUAAGCUAUGCCGACUAGGGAUCGGACGAUGUUAUUCUUUGACGCGUUCGGCACCUUUCGAGAAAUCAAAGUGCUUGGGCUCCAGGGGGAGUAUGGUCGCAAGGCUGAAACUUAAAGAAAUUGACGGAAGGGCACCACCAGGGGUGGAACCUGCGGCUUAAUUUGACUCAACACGGGGAAACUCACCAGGUCCAGACACAGUGAGGAUUGACAGAUUGAGAGCUCUUUCUUGAUUCUGUGGGUGGUGGUGCAUGGCCGUUCUUAGUUGGUGGAGUGAUUUGUCUGCUUAAUUGCGAUAACGAACGAGACCUUAACCUGCUAAAUAGCCCGUACUGCUUUGGCAGUUCGCCGGCUUCUUAGAGGGACUAUCGG